rnacentral:rRNA from 1 species
GGAUUCCCCUAGUACGGCGAGUGAAGAGGGAAGAGCUCAAAUUUUGAAUCCGGCGUCUUUGGCGUCCGAAUUGUAAUCUAGAGAAGUGUUUUCCGUGACGGACCGUGCAUAAGUCUCCUGGAAUGGAGUGUCAUAGAGGGUGAGAAUCCCGUACAUGGCAUGGACUCCCGUUGCUCUGUGAUACACUCUCGACGAGUCGAGUUGUUUGGGAAUGCAGCUCUAAAUGGGUGGUAAAUGCCAUCUAAAGCUAAAUAUUGGCGAGAGACCGAUAGCGAACAAGUACCGUGAGGGAAAGAUGAAAAGCACUUUGGAAAGAGAGUGAAACAGUACGUGAAAUUGUUGAAAGGGAAACGCUUGAAGUCAGUCGCGCCGUUCGGGAUUCAGCCUUGCUUCUGCUCGGUUUACUUCCCGUUGGGUGGGUCAACAUCAGUUUCGGUCGGAGGAGAAAGGCUUGGGGAAGGUGGCAGCAUUCGUGCUGUGUUAUAGCCCCUUGUUGUAUACUUCGACUGGGACUGAGGACUGCAGCACGCCUUUGGCCGGGGUUCGCCCACGUACGUGCUUAGGAUGUUGGCAUAAUGGCUUUAAGCGACCCGUCUUGAAACACGGACCAAGGAGUCUAACAUGUGCGCGAGUGUUUGGGUGUUAAACUCGGACGCGAAAUGAAAGUGAAAAGUUGGGAACACUUCUGUGUGCACCGACGCCCGGAGCUGACCUUCUGUGACGCAUCUGCGGUAGAGCGUAUAUGUUGGGACCCGAAAGAUGGUGAACUAUGCCUGAAUAGGGUGAAGCCAGAGGAAACUCUGGUGGAGGCUCGUAGCGAUUCUGACGUGCAAAUCGAUCGAA